GGCGCUGCCUACAGAGGUGGCAGCCAUCUCCUCCUCGGCAUCAUGGCCGCCCUCAGACCCCUUGUGAAGCCCAAGAUCGUCAAAAAGAGAACCAAGAAGUUCAUCCAGCACCAGUCAGACCGAUAUGUCAAAAUUAAGCAUAACUGGUGGAAACCCAGAGGUGUUGACAACAGGGUUGGUAGAAGACUCAAGGGCCAGAUCUUGAUGCCCAACAUUGGUUAUGGGAGCAACAAAAAAACAAAGCACAUGCUGCCCAUUGGCUUCCGGGAGUUCCUCGUCCACAACGUCAAGGAGCUGGAAGUGCUGCUGAUGUGCAAUAAAUCUUACUGUGCCAAGAUUGCUCACAAUGUUUCCUCCAAGAACCGCAAAGCCUUCGUGGAAAGAGCUGCCCAACUGGCCAUCAGAGUCACCAAUCCCAAUGCCAGGCUCGCAGUGAAGAAAAUGAAGAAGCGUCCACAGCUUCACUGCCAUGGAGGGAAAAAGGAGAGGGAGGCAGGGAGGGCCACGGAAUCCUGGUGGCACUUCGUUUUCCUUCGCAAGUCUUUGUCCAGCGGGACAAGGUUUACAGGACCAAUCAAGUUCCUCCAUAGAAACGUAGAAGCGCGUUUGUGUUCCAGCAGAAUGGAGGAGGUUGCUUUGGGUGAGGCGUAUUUAAAGGAGCGAGGAACGCUGUCUUCUGAUUGGUGUGCAUCCGCUCGCCGUGUCCAUGGUAACCAGCGAGCGCCCUGUCCUACCCUGGACCUCAGUUGCAGCGAAGGAGAACAGCCCCGAGCCUACGCCGCUGGGCCCUGGUGA